CAUUUUUUGUUUUUCUAGCCUCUGCAAGACCAAUUAAAGAUUGUAAUUGUCUUAAUUUGGCUACAGUUUCUAAAAGUUUUUCCGUGAGCUUUUCUUAAAAAUAAAAAAUAAAAAAAUAUUCCUUGAGUCGCUAUGAGAACCUUAAUUGUGCUCACAUCUCAUCAGAAUACCUCCGAUCAAAGGAUCGACCUGAGAAACACCCGCCAAUUAAUGAACCUUAUUACAAAGGUGUAAUGAUGAGUGGUAAUCUUUUUGAACGGAUGUUCCAAUAACCUAGAAAUAGGUUUGUUUUAUUGAGCAGAACACAAGUUGAAACCAGUUUGAUGAUCAAUACCAAAAACAAGCAGAAGCAUGGUUUGUUUGAUCAACUUAUGAACCCACUUCAACAACCUCGCGACCUUUCUCUACGGAGACCUUGAAAGCAUCCAGAAUUAGUUGUGUCUUCCUAGUCAUGGCUGGCCACUGGUUAUCAGGUUCCUUACCAUUUCGCUUAAUAUCCGCAACCAAACCAGCAAAUUCACACAUCAUCAGGGUCUCCUAAGGAAGAUCGUUUGUGUCAGAGUGCUCACUAGGCCUUGCUUCCCAUUCUGUCAAAAGCCCCUCCGAGCAAGACUUCGAACCCCGCAGAAUACGAAGCAGUGUUGUGUUUACUAUAUCAACUCCUUUACGUAUAUAGCUUAAAAUCUUUAAUGCUUCUUUGCCAAUAUUGGUACUUGAAAUCUUUUCGAAGGGGCUUUCAUUUAUUUCUUGAUUGAUGAGGCAAACACUUUUUUUUCUUUCUUCCUUGUAUUUUUCAAAAUAUUCUAUUGAAUUUGAAAUAGAAUGGUUUUGUCUUGUAUCUCCUUAUAACCUUUGUUUACAACCUUUCAUGCAUAUUGCCUACUAAGCAAAACUUUUAUCUUGAUACUCCAAGUAUUGUAAUUAUUUUUGUUAAGUUGAGGAA